GACGAACGCUGGCGGCGUGCUUAACACAUGCAAGUCGAACGGAAAGGCCCUGCUUUUGUGGGGUGCUCGAGUGGCGAACGGGUGAGUAACACGUGAGUAACCUGCCCUUGACUUUGGGAUAACUUCAGGAAACUGGGGCUAAUACCGGUUAGGAGCUCCUGCUGCAUGGUGGGGGUUGGAAAGUUUCGGCGGUUGGGGAUGGACUCGCGGCUUAUCAGCUUGUUGGUGGGGUAGUGGCUUACCAAGGCGUUGACGGGUAGCCGGCCUGAGAGGGUGACCGGCCACAUUGGGAAUGAGAUACGGCCCAGACUCCGACGGGAAGCAGCAGUGGGGAAUAUUGCACAAUGGGCGGAAGCCUGAUGCAGCAACGCCGCGUGCGGGAUGACGGCCUUCGGGUGGUAAACCGCUUUCGCCUGUGUCGAAGCGUGAGUGACGGUAAUGGGUAAAGAAGCACCGGCUAACUACGUG
rnacentral:rRNA from 1 species